ensembl:rRNA 5S_rRNA 5S ribosomal RNA
AGCCACAGCCAUAUCACCCUGCAGCCAAAGACUAGUUGCUCACUGAAACUAAGCAGGGUUGAGCCUGGGCAGUACCUGGGUGGGAGACCUCCUGGGAAAACUAGGUUGCUGUUGGAA